ACUGGCGGCGUGCCUAUACAUGCAAGUCGAGCGAACAGACAAGGAGCUUGCUCCUUUGACGUUAGCGGCGGACGGGUGAGUAACACGUGGGUAACCUACCUAUAAGACUGGGAUAACUUCGGGAAACCGGAGCUAAUACCGGAUAAUAUUUCGAACCGCAUGGUUCGAUAGUGAAAGAUGGUUUUGCUAUCACUUAUAGAUGGACCCGCGCCGUAUUAGCUAGUUGGUAAGGUAACGGCUUACCAAGGCGACGAUACGUAGCCGACCUGAGAGGGUGAUCGGCCACACUGGAACUGAGACACGGUCCAGACUCCUACGGGAGGCAGCAGUAGGGAAUCUUCCGCAAUGGGCGAAAGCCUGACGGAGCAACGCCGCGUGAGUGAUGAAGGUCUUCGGAUCGUAAAACUCUGUUAUUAGGGAAGAACAUACGUGUAAGUAACUAUGCACGUCUUGACGGUACCUAAUCAGAAAGCCACGGCUAACUACGUGCCAGCAGCCGCGGUAAUACGUAGGUGGCAAGCGUUAUCCGGAAUUAUUGGGCGUAAAGCGCGCGUAGGCGGUUUUUUAAGUCUGAUGUGAAAGCCCACGGCUCAACCGUGGAGGGUCAUUGGAAACUGGAAAACUUGAGUGCAGAAGAGGAAAGUGGAAUUCCAUGUGUAGCGGUGAAAUGCGCAGAGAUAUGGAGGAACACCAGUGGCGAAGGCGACUUUCUGGUCUGUAACUGACGCUGAUGUGCGAAAGCGUGGGGAUCAAACAGGAUUAGAUACCCUGGUAGUCCACGCCGUAAACGAUGAGUGCUAAGUGUUAGGGGGUUUCCGCCCCUUAGUGCUGCAGCUAACGCAUUAAGCACUCCGCCUGGGGAGUACGACCGCAAGGUUGAAACUCAAAGGAAUUGACGGGGACCCGCACAAGCGGUGGAGCAUGUGGUUUAAUUCGAAGCAACGCGAAGAACCUUACCAAAUCUUGACAUCCUUUGACAACUCUAGAGAUAGAGCCUUCCCCUUCGGGGGACAAAGUGACAGGUGGUGCAUGGUUGUCGUCAGCUCGUGUCGUGAGAUGUUGGGUUAAGUCCCGCAACGAGCGCAACCCUUAAGCUUAGUUGCCAUCAUUAAGUUGGGCACUCUAAGUUGACUGCCGGUGACAAACCGGAGGAAGGUGGGGAUGACGUCAAAUCAUCAUGCCCCUUAUGAUUUGGGCUACACACGUGCUACAAUGGACAAUACAAAGGGCAGCGAAACCGCGAGGUCAAGCAAAUCCCAUAAAGUUGUUCUCAGUUCGGAUUGUAGUCUGCAACUCGACUACAUGAAGCUGGAAUCGCUAGUAAUCGUAGAUCAGCAUGCUACGGUGAAUACGUUCCCGGGUCUUGUACACACCGCCCGUCACACCACGAGAGUUUGUAACACCCGAAGCCGGUGGAGUAACCAUUUGGAGCUAGCCGUCGAAGGUGGGACAAA
rnacentral:rRNA from 1 species